GUUGACCUCGGAUCAGGUAGGAAGACCCGCUGAACUUAAGCAUAUCAAUAAGCGGAGGAAAAGAAACCAACAGGGAUUGCCCUAGUAACGGCGAGUGAAGCGGCAACAGCUCAAAUUUGAAAUCUGGCUUCGGCCCGAGUUGUAAUUUGCAGAGGAAGCUUUAGGCGCGGCACCUUCUGAGUCCCCUGGAACGGGGCGCCAUAGAGGGUGAGAGCCCCGUAUAGUUGGAUGCCUAGCCUGUGUAAAGCUCCUUCGACGAGUCGAGUAGUUUGGGAAUGCUGCUCAAAAUGGGAGGUAAAUUUCUUCUAAAGCUAAAUACCGGCCAGAGACCGAUAGCGCACAAGUAGAGUGAUCGAAAGAUGAAAAGCACUUUGAAAAGAGGGUUAAACAGCACGUGAAAUUGUUGAAAGGGAAGCGCUUGUGACCAGACUUGCGCCAGGCUGAUCAUCCGGUGUUCUCACCGGUGCACUCGGCCCGGCACAGGCCAGCAUCGGUUCUCGCGGGGGGAUAAAGGUCUCGGGAACGUAGCUCCUCCGGGAGUGUUAUAGCCCGGGGCGUAAUGCCCUCGCGGGGACCGAGGUUCGCGCAUCUGCAAGGAUGCUGGCGUAAUGGUCAUCAGCGACCCGUCUUGAAACACGGACCAAGGAGUCAAGGUUUUGCGCGAGUGUUUGGGUGUCAAACCCGCACGCGUAAUGAAAGUGAACGUAUGUGAGAGCUUCGGCGCAUCAUCGACCGAUCCUGAUGUUUUCGGAUGGAUUUGAGUAGGAGCGUUAAGCCUUGGACCCGAAAGAUGGUGAACUAUGCUUGGAUAGGGUGAAGCCAGAGGAAACUCUGGUGGAGGCUCGCAGCGGUUCUGACGUGCAAAUCGAUCGUCAAAUCUGAGCAUGGGGGCGAAAGACUAAUCGAA
rnacentral:rRNA from 1 species